GGAAGUUUUAUCUUCGCGUAAAAAGUUAUUUCGUAAGUAUAAUAAUUAUCGUCAUUUAACUAAUUAACGUUAUUUUGGCAUAAUAAAGAUUUCGAGAGGAGAACGGAUCAAGUAAGCUCACCUACAAACAGAGAACCUAACGACCCGACACACUCAGGAUGAUGGAUCGUUCGAUCGGGAUUCAGAGUUACCACUUUUCGAUGUCCCAGGAGGGGGCAUGGAGGAUUGAGGGAAUCUGUUAUACCUACACAGGCCCUGGUACUUUUGAUUAG